UGAUCUCCAGGAUGAAGGAUGAAUGAGGGCAGAGGCCCGUUUCAUGGAGACUGUUUAAGUGUGAUGUAAACCUGGAUUAAAAAACCCACAUUUGAACACAUUCAUCAGUGGCUGUGACCAUGUUAAAGGACUAAUGCUGACGUGCUCUGACACUCAUUAGCAUAGAAAACAAAGUGGUGAAAGCACAGAGCCCUGAGUAGCUCCACUGGACCGCUCUGUUCACAGAACUUACAUUUAAUUAUUUCACUUUUAUUUACAUGCAAAACACCCUCAGAGAGAACAGUUGUUUCAGAGCUGCCAGCUUUAUUGGAAAGAUGAACUGAAAUCAUUUAACCUAAAAUAGUCCAAUUUAUGACAAACUAACACGGUGAAAUGUUGCAGGAUUAAAAAGUGUCGAUGGAUGAACUCUUUCAGUGUAAGAUCAAAUAA